CAUACCAGCAGUUGUUGUCUUGUUGCUGCUAGCUUAAUAUUAGCACGCCGUCACUCACUCACUCAUUCACUCAUUCACUAAGUUAGUUGAUCGUCAUGUCUUCCACGCUGGUCAGAUCGUCUCGUCUGCUACAAAAAUCCUCCCAUCUUUGUGCAGAGAUGGUUUCGUGUCCCGCGGCUACGCCGUCGCCGCGGCAACCCUAUACCCGGAGGAGCCGGCGGGGCCGACGAUGAAGACGGCGUUGCCUGGACCGAGGUCGCAGGAACUGAAGAAACAGCUGGACAAAAUACAGAACACGGGAGCCGUGAGCGUGUUCGUUGACUUUGAGAAGAGCCGAGGAAACUACAUGGUCGACGUGGACGGCAACGAGAUGCUUGAUCUCUUCACACAGAUCUCCUCCCUCCCUCUCGGUGAGUGACAG